GAUGGAGACCACCUUCAGCCGAUAGGCGAGAAAGUCUUGCAUAUUUAAAUCUGAUGGAAAUUAGAAAAACACGUGGACACGAGGAUCGGUUUCAUUCCAAUAGCCGGGCAGAAAGUCAGCCAUGGGCUGCGUAUGUUUACACCCGCUCUGCACUAAAGUACAGUUUCCCAAAGGCGACAAUGAAGCGGAUAAAGGGCAUCCACCAUCUUUUCACAGACAAGAGAACGGUGACGGAGGAAGGGGGUGGAGACGCAGCGGGUGACUCACUGCUGUUCUCGCAGACUGUUUCUGAAGAGCUCUGCCGGGAGGCCAGAUAAGGACCGGGAGGCUGGAGUGGGAAGCAGGAGGAUCGGGUUCCAGGACCACGGAGCCUCCCAGGCAGAUGCAGACCGCUGCCCUGCCACCAAAUUCACUGCGCCUCAGUCACAGGCUCGUCACCCGAAGCUCCUCAGAGAUUCCCGGUCCCCGAUCAAUACGGCUACGGAACUCAACACCGCUCCCCCCACCUCCAAAUCCCACCUCCCAGCGCGAUUGAAAUAGGAUACCAGCGGGCUACGGCGCAGACAGGAACACACCAGGGGCUUCAUGUGCUUUUCCCUUUGAUGCAGGACCCUUUGGUGCAAGCGACAGCAAAGAGGAGCAGAUGACGUGGGCGUCUCUGGCCUGCCUGUGCACGCUUCCUUUUUUUCCGGCGGGUGCCAGUCUCGCCGCGCCGCCGGGGAGGGAGCCGGGUGCCCGCGUCGGCCCGGCACAUGCGCCUGCCCUGCCCCCCCCCACGUCCGUCCGUCCGUCCGUCUGGCCCGGCUCGACAGGCCGCGUCGGCUAGACUAAACAGCCGGCGCUGUCCUUGACGAGGAGCCCUGCCCUCCCGCCAGCAGCGCACUGCUGCGUCGUCCCCAGCGGCCUGCGUGCUGCGUGCUCCCCAGCGGUCUGCGCUGCUGUUCACUGCGCAGCAAAGCGCCAAACGCGCGGGUGACCCGCUGCAGCCCUGCGUUCCCCCUCCCGCAGGCCGGGGGCUGUGUCGGACGUUACCUCUCUUUGCUUUAUAAACAACCUUUACUUUCAUGAAUUUUGAGGAUCAAGCCACCCUACUGAACUGUGUCUGUUGACAACUAUGUUUCUUGUGUUAAUUAGUAAAUAAACUAUCUUGCACUUUAUUGUCAGUUGAGGACAACUGUUUAUUGAGUCCAGGGGAUAGUUGAUGGUGUUGAACUCCACAGCACUUGACCUAACAUUCCCUAACACCCUCAUAUAGCCCAGGUAUUUCUGUCUUGUUGCUGCCACAUAUUAGCAACUGUUUUUAAUUUUUUUUUUUUACAAACAAUGGAGUCAAAGAUUACUGAAUAUUUUCAGUACACAGUUCAGGUUUACACAUGCAAUCUAGUUUAGUGGUUUGAACAGAGUAUACAUUUGUAUUUCUGUUAAUAGAAUAAUAACCACAUUGGGAAGAGUACAUACAAUCAAAUUUCUGCACUUUCAUUCAUGCACAUGUAUUUUACAAUUCGCAUAUAAAGAUGGAUACACUUGGGGCCGACUGUUGUUUCCACAUUGUGAUAAUGGAGUAUGUGGGGGGUGCCAUGGGAACGUUUGAUGUGUCAGUUCUGUUCUGUUUGCAGUUUCUCGUGGUGGUGAACUAACCAGAUGGACAAUUUGGUCAAGAAGAAAGCUCAGACCAGCACGUCAGCCUGCAGCGUAAGGAAGAAAGAGACAGAAUCAUGCACCACAGGCCACAAGAAACCGUGUAGCAGCUCAGCUAAUCAUCAAAGGCCCUCUGUGCUCUAGCAGACUCAGAGAGAUGCAUACCUUAAGGCACAGGUGUACAGGGGCUGGGAGCUCACAGCCGUCAUCACAACAUGAGCCUACCAAUUACGCGCAGGUGGAAACAGUAAUUAUAAGAUCCCUAAUGCGACAGGCUGGCUCUGUCUUAGUGCCAUCAUCGAAACAGGCGCAUGCUUGCACCACACAAGCUGCAGUGUUAGGUUUCCACCCUCCAGGUUCCCAUAAAUACUGUUAUUUUCAGUAUGAGGACAUACCCAGGGACCUAUGCAACAAAUACACACAUUCUGAGCUCUGGGACCCUUCUUCAUAUUGCAGUCAUCGGCUCUGUGUUUCUGUGUGUUCUGGGUAAUACAUAUGCACAUAUGUUGAAAAAUGCUAACCCAUGUGGGCGGGUGAUGUUUGGGUGAGCGGCUUGUGUGGCUUGAGGGAAGGGCAGAUGUUGUGGGGGGGAUAUGGAUGGUUGUGUGGAAAAAGAAUUUGCUUAAAACCAACAAAGCAGUCUUAAAUGGGAAACAUGACCCUGGUACUAAUCUGCUCUUCCUGGUAGUAAUCAGACAGCACGAGUCCCAUCCCUCUGCCGUUCCCCAUAUUUUACAGUUAAUUAGAUAGAAGGGCAGGAACCCUGCCCACCCCCGAUCACUCACACAUGUACACAUGGACUGUUUGGACUUUUAAAAAUAAGAGAGUGUAAAUAUUGUGUUUUUACUGCAUUAGUCAUGAAUUUGCACAUGCAUUUGUACUAAAAGGAUUUUUUCUUUUUUUCUUUUUGUUUAUUAAUUGUGUUUUCCUCAUCAUUCCUUAUAAUUGGGCAAUUAAUAACCAUGCUCUUUUCAGCUUUGGGCAAUAGGAAACCAUGAUACAUCUUAAUUGAUGGCCAGGGGUGUGUGGUGAAGUUUAUUAGCAAAUUGUGUUCUUGGCCAAUGAGAUGACAAGCUGGGACCAAGCCUCCCUUUAAAUUCAGCACAGCUGGUAGUUUUUUUUUUU